AAUAAGCGCAACCAUGAGUUUCCGUGUCCAAUUUUGAUCAUCCGUCUUAUUUGAAAUUUUUUGAUGAUUAGUAUUUUUAUUGUUAUUAGAUUAUAAAACAUGAAUACAUAUGUUUUUUUAUUUUUUCAAAAAAAAUUAAAUAAGACGAACGACUAAAGUUGGAUACGAAAACUCAUGGCUGCGUUUAUU
rfam:Oryza glumipatula chromosome 4, whole genome shotgun sequence.